AAGAGACAGCAGCCGCCACGGGAAUACGGAGGGGGCUAGCGUUGUUCGGAAUUACUGGGCGUAAAGCGCGCGUAGGCGGCUUGGUAAGUUAGAGGUGAAAGCCUGGGGCUCAACCCCAGAAUUGCCUUUAAGACUGCCGAGCUAGUAGGUGAGAGAGGUAAGUGGAAUUCCGAGUGUAGAGGUGAAAUUCGUAGAUAUUCGGAAGAACACCAGUGGCGAAGGCGGCUUACUGGCUCAUUCUAGACGCUGAGGUGCGAAAGCGUGGGGAGCAAACAGGAUUAGAUACCCGAGUAGUCCCUGUCUCUUAUAC
rnacentral:rRNA from 1 species